rnacentral:rRNA from 1 species
GAGUAGUACUAGGAUGGGUGACCUCCUGGGAAGUCCUCGUGUUGCACCCCU